rnacentral:tRNA from 1 species
GUUAUCAAGGUUUUUAAAAGCUUGGCCAACAAGCGCAGGUCUUAUAAACCUGAGAUCGGGGGUUCAAAUCCCCCCGGGAGCA